UAAAUUGUUUGCAACAGUUUUGCAGACAACAUUUUUUUCAGUGUAGGUUGUUUUUGAUUUAUGUGUGAACUAUCCCUUUAAAUUGCCAUUUCACAAUCCAAGGUGCCUUAAAUUAGUGCAGUAAUUCUUAACCCUAUAGAAAAUAUAAUUGAAUGUAAUUCGUGUGUUAAAAUCACACGAAACACAUUUUCAAACGUUUGUGAUAAAUUUAGGCUUGUUUUCAGAGGAAUUGAACACAUUUGAGUUUGUUUUAAACAAGAACAAAUACCUGUCAUGACAAAUUAUUUUUCAUUUGAACUAAGUUUGUUUUCUAAGUAAACUGGAAGGUAUUUUCUUGCAUUAAGCAUACAUUUGAAUUAAAUUAAUCUGUUUCACACAAAAAUUCUUCUCAAUUUUCUUCUCGAAUAUAUGUACCUUGAUUCAAAAAUGGACAUUUGCAUCAUUAAACCAUAAAUUACUGAGGGAAAAGCAACAGUUUUCUUAAUGUGAUUAGAUGGUGCAGUAAAGGUAAUAUGAAAAUGAUAGUUUUAGCAAAUCCAUUGUGUAAAUUAAUUACGAAGUAACAGAGAUCACAAUCUAGCUGUAAAACUAUUGUUAACUCAAGAACAGUUUGCUUGUUAGAUGUUUACAUUCAGCAAACAUCAUUUAAAUGAGAAGUCCACCCAAUUAUGGAAAUUUAGUUACUGAUUACUCAAACUCAAGUGAUUUAAAACGUUUAUGAGUUUCUUUUUACUGUUGAACUCGAAGAUAUUUUAAAGAAUGUUAGAAACUGGUAAUCAUUGAUUUUCAUAAUAGGAAAAACCAAUACUAUGAAGGUCAAUAGUUACUGCAGUAGCCAUUUCAAACUAACUACUUUUAUGAUCAAUCGAAGAAAGAAACUCAUAAAGGUUUGUGACAAGUGAGUAAAUAAUUUCCAGUUUUAAAUGAACUGUCCCUUUAAUUUACAUCAUAGCUUUUGUAGAUUAGAGAACACCACCAGUAGCAGCCUUACACCUUUUUCUUUGAAUGUACAAACAUUUUCAACAAAAGUUGAAAAAAUUACAACAAACAUUUGAAAAAUUACAACAAAAGUUAUCCUAAUUAGCAUUUUUUUUUCUAUUAGCGCCUGUAAUUUAAGGCGUUAGGCUCUUUUGAAGUUGCAUUGAGACAUUUAUCUGUUAAAAUAGAAACCAUAAACCUUAAAUAAACGAGAAUAACAAUGAAUGACAUGUAACAAGAAAAAAAAAAAGUUAAUUUUCAUAAUAAUUACUUAUAAAAUAGUAUUACUACUUCCUUGACGUAUGUCAAAUGAAACCUCUGGAGGUUGCGGCCUUCGAAAUCAAACAACUUUCAUUACAAGUACAGAUAUAGUCACAUCAACACACAACUACUUACCCUUUACACACAAAAAUAGGUUUGAUAUUGGCUAACAUUAAAAUGAACAAAUAAAAUAGUGAUAGUUCACUAUCAGUGAACUAUUCCUUUAAAUAGCAUUUUCAUAAUCUAAGACCCCUUAAAUAGAGUAGUAAAUCUUACCCCUAUAGAAAAUUUACUUGAAUGUAAUCUGACCUUGGUGUGUUAAAAUCACACGAAAAAGUUAAUUUGCUUUAACAAAUAGAACAAUUAAAGGUACAGUUCACACAAAAAUGACAAAACAGUCAUCAUUUACUCACCCUUUACUUGUUUUAAACCUUUAUGUCUCUUUUCUGUUAAACACAAAAGAAAAUAUUUUGAAAAAUGUUGGAAACCUGUAACCAUUGACUUCCAUAGUAUUUGUAUUUCCUACUAUGUAAAUCAAUGGUUACAGGUUUUCAGCUUUCUUCAAAAUGUCUUCUUGUGUGUUGAACAGAAGACAGAAACUCAAAGGUUUUAAACUACUUGAUGGUGCUGAGUUCUGAGUAAAUGUUCAUAUUUUUGUGUGAACUAUCCCUUUAAUUUCUGCAAAACUUUUUCAGUUUGAGUUCUACUUCAAUGGAGUCCAUGCCCGUGAUGAAUGUGGUAUGCUUUAUGUUUUCUCUUCUGUCUUCAUCACAGUUCUCAAUGACCAGCUUGUCUUCUGAUGCUAUGGAUCGGGCAUGGUAACUAGGUAACCAUAGAUCUCCACAGUAACUCUCAAGCCCCUCCUCUGGCCUGAUUUACAUAAUCUCUUUGUGAGCUUCCAGCACCCCCCCCCCCUUCCCACUUUUCCAACUAAUGAAAAGACCAUAUUAAAUCCAACAGUCCAAAAACAUUAGCUCAUUGUUCCUGGUUGUAGCUUAGUUCUCUGCAUAAGCUACCACAUGAUGACUAUAAGCUAUUUCAGACCUCAACAAGAGGCUUUCUCUUUCCUCUGAUCAUAUUAUGAAUGAUUUCACUACUCGCUAUGGGAACGUAACUGAAUGCAGGCGUUACAGAGUUCAUUCUGCUUUUAUACUUUGUACUGCCAAAUUUGACAGAUGUUCAAAGGGAGAGUUCACCCAAAAAUGAACAUUUUGACAUCAUUUACUCACACGUUACUUGUUUGUUAAUGCGUUUCUGUUAAACACAAAAGAAGAUAAUUUGAAAAAUGUUUAACUUAUAACCAUUGCCUUCCAUAGUAUUUGGAUUUCCUUGUGUGGAAAUCAAUGGUUACAGGCUCUUCAAAAUAUCAGAAUUUGUGUUCAACAGAAGAAAAACUCAUGAAUGUUUAUAAUCACUUAAAUGUGAGUAGGGUAGCACAGUGGGUAGCGCUGUCACCUCAUAGCAAGAAGGUCGCUGGUUCGAGCCUCGACUGGGUCAGCUGGCAUUUCUGUGUGGAGUUUGAAUUGGGUAAGCUAAAUUGUCCAUAGAGUAUGUGUGUGAAUGAGAGUGUAUGGGUGUUUCCCAGUGAUGGGUUGCAGCUGGAAGGGCAUCUGCUGCGUAAAACAUAUGCUGGAUAAGUUGGCGGGUUCAUUCCACUGUGGGGACCGCUGAUUAAUAAAGGGACUAAGCCGAAAAAAAUGAACGAAUGAAUGAAUUCUAUUUUUUGGGUGAAUUGUCCCUGUGAAGUGAUGAUUAAUGAUCUUCAAACUCAAAAAAAUCGACCAGAUAUUGAUGCUCGUCUUCCUUUUAAUGUCCUCUUUAGCAAGAACAUAUGUUGAUAUUAUGCAACCGAUGUGCUGAUCUGAACCAAUUCCAGGUAGACAGCUCUGAGUGUGGACGCUGGAUGUCUGCAGAUCAAACUAAGUGAGAAGAGUGUUGCAUUGUGGGUAUCACAAAAUAGUGUCUUCAAGGCUCAAAUUUCUGUAAGUACUUAUUUUUUGUACGUAUUUUUAAAGUUUUGUAUUAGUAUUCCAGAAUCAAGUUCACAGUAAUUCCCCUGAAUGCUAAUUUCUUAGAAUAACCAGUGUGAUAUUUUAUAUUAAAUGAAUGUCUGCAAAUGUGUGUACUGUAUUCAGUUUGCUCAAUAAAGCUAUUUUUCACACCA